rnacentral:rRNA from 1 species
UACAUGGGGGUGCAAACGUUUGCUCGGAAUUAUUGGGCGUAAAGCGCGCGUAGGCGGUUACUUAAGUCGGAUGUGAAAGCCCUCGGCUUAACUGAGGAAGUGCACCCGAAACUGAGUAGCUAGAGUACGAAAGAGGGUCGCGGAAUUCCCGGUGUAGAGGUGAAAUUCGUAGAUAUCGGGAGGAACACCGGUGGCGAAGGCGGCGACCUGGGUCGAGACUGACGCUGAGGCGCGAAAGCGUGGGGAGCAAACAGG